rnacentral:rRNA from 1 species
GGUUGAUCCUGCCGGAGGCCACUGCUAUGGGGGUCCGACUAAGCCAUGCGAGUCAUGGGGCGCCUUGCGCGCACCGGCGGACGGCUCAGUAACACGUCGGUAACCUACCCUCGGGAGGGGGAUAACCCCGGGAAACUGGGGCUAAUCCCCCGUAGGCCUGAGGUACUGGAAGGUCCUCAGGCCGAAAGGGUCUUUGACCGCCCGAGGAUGGGCCGGCGGCCGAUUAGGUAGUUGGUGGGGUAACGGCCCACCAAGCCGAAGAUCGGUACGGGCCAUGAGAGUGGGAGCCCGGAGAUGGACACUGAGACACGGGUCCAGGCCCUACGGGGCGCAGCAGGCGCGAAACCUCCGCAAUGCUCGAAAGAGCGACGGGGGGACCCCCAGUGCCGUGGCAUCGCCACGGCUUUUCCGGAGUGUAAAGAGCUCCGGGAAUAAGGGCUGGGCAAGGCCGGUGGCAGCCGCCGCGGUAAUACCGGCGGCCCGAGUGGUGGCCGCUAUUAUUGGGCCUAAAGCGUCCGUAGCCGGGCCAGUAAGUCCCUGGCGAAAUCCCACGGCUCAACCGUGGGGCUUGCUGGGGAUACUGCUGGCCUUGGGACCGGGAGAGGC